UGUAGUAUUACCAUUAAAAAAGCUCAUCUAGUGAAUGUGGUGUCAAAAAAGGCGUAAACUACACACUUUGCAACCCUUUCCUGCCCUUGAAUUUGAUGUCUUUGGUGGAGGAGCUGUGUAAGUAACAGUU